rnacentral:rRNA from 1 species
UACAGAGGGGGCAAGCGUUAUUCGGAAUUAUUGGGCGUAAAGGGCGCGUAGGCGGCUUGGCAAGUGGAUGGUGAAAUCCCUCGGCUUAACCGAGGAACUGCCGUCCAAACUGCUUCGCUUGAGACCGGGAGAGGUGAGUGGAAUUCCCAGUGUAGCGGUGAAAUGCGUAGAUAUUGGGAGGAACACCAGUGGCGAAGGCGGCUCACUGGACCGGUACUGACGCUGAGACACGAAAGCGUGGGGAGCAAACAGG